rnacentral:misc_RNA from 1 species
CAGAGUUCAUGCCCUCACGGGUAGAUCUCCCACCCUUGAUAUUUGUACCUUUGUUGCUUUGGCGGGCCGCGGCCUCCGCUACCGGCUCCGGCUGGUAUGUGCCCGCCAGAGAACCCAACUCUUGUUUUUAGUGAUGUCUGAGUACUAUAUAAUAGUUA